AGUGCAAAAUGUCUUAUUUUCCCCAUCAAUUCUGUUUCGAAAUAUAAACCGUACAAGCGGCAGUGCGCCAUUUCCGUAACAUCCCCUCCAUUUUUGCCUCGUGACUUGUGAUGACCAAUGCAUUACAAAGUUGUACUUAAAAGUGAUUUAAUUCGAGAAGGACAAUGCAGCUUGUCUUCCACGUUGGUGGCAGGGCUUGCCCGGCUGACCGAUGCAUUGGCAAUGGUUGGUACAGCUCACCUGGGCCGGCGGUGGCAGCAUUCGCCGUAUCCGAUCAUCUCCUAGUCUUGGAGCGCCGUGCAUGGGAGGUGCACCGGCCGGCAGCUUGGACCCGGUGCAGUUAGCCUAGCUCGGCCAGUCGGCCCAGCUUGUUCUCUCCCGGGCCGCGGUCCGACGUCGAGCGAGCUUAGGCGGGCCGGUCACAUGCUGCAGCUACAGAGCCGAGAUGGUGGACCUCGUCGCAGCGCUGCGCGGGCUGCUGGACCACUCAGAGGAUGAGUAGGGGGACCCACUAGUCAUCUGCCAAACUACGGAGUACGGACAGCCAGCCGGCCCUUUGCUCGAGACCGGCGACACAGCAGUGAAUACUCGAAGUUGCAGUGUGGCAGUCCCUGCUUGCGCGGGGAGAAAGAUGACCGGAUUCACAACGCCGGUUCCGGUGCGGGCUGUAGGGUAAUAAGCGUGCCGACAGUCGACACACUAGCCAAGGAGGCGGCACAGUUACCGCAGGGGCCGACCAUGCUGGACGUAUGUUCGCACGGUACACCGAACAGCCGUAAGAACAGCGCGGCCGAUGGCGAAAUGGCCCGAGGGCUGGUACGCGGACGCGGCCACGGCGGGCGAUACGUGCAGUGUAGCAGCUUCACGUUCUGACACGCCGCGCUGCACUGAUGUUACUACCAGCAAGACUGUCCAGUGAUCUUCUAAAGAAGUUGAACCGCAAACACCGUUGGCCGCUUUUGACGCUAUCUAUACUACAGAGACCCAUUCCGGCUCCGAAAUGUUCAUGAGACUCGUGGACGACAGUCCGGUGGUGUCCUGUGGACGAAGAUAGCAAAGCAUCUACGUGGAUGGCGCGCUGGGCGGCUCGUCCGUCGCGUCACAAGACUGUGGCCUCUCUGCGCGUCACAAGACUUUUGUGUGUGGCCUCUCUGCGUGCCGCAAGACCAGGUGGACUCGCCGCUGCGUUGGCUAUGGCGGGGGCCGGCGGCGGUGUGCAACACGACUGCUGUGUGGCCUCUCAGUCUGCGUGCCGCGCCGCUGCGCUGGCUGUGGCGGGAGCCGGCGGCGGCGGUGCUCUGCAAAAUACCAACUGGAGCGGUCGAGCGAAUGACUCAAGGCUUCCGGACGUCAUCGGGGAUCCUGGACAUGGCUUUGCAAAUCAUGCAGAUCAGAUCUGCGCUUCCUAUCGAGUCUUGCCCCUGCGGAGGCGAUGCGGCGCCAAGCCGCCGAGGCGUCCUGACCGGCGGGCUUGUCACCCAAAGUUUAACGGAGGCAUGGUGGCGCUAAGGACGGUCGGCGCGGCACGGUCUGUCACGGGAUUGACAGUGUUGCAUGGAGUGAACACUUCGGUGGAAAUAGGGUGCUGGUCGGGGUGAUAACCUAACUUUGAAUGAGAUAGUUGCGAGGAUGAUCAGAUGAUAGAUAAGAGGCUGCGGGAAGCAGGGAGGAAUUACACCGGUGCUAGGUUAAGUUCGUUAUGAUCAAAGUAUAACUGUGAUAAUUGUACGAUUCAUUUGCUGUGCAGUUGGUCAUUGUGACGUUCAUCCCCCUCUCCCGUAGCCGUAUGUAUGAGAACGAUAGUUCCGGUGAGUUUUAACUAACAUUCGUUAUCUAUCAUGAUGGGUGUAUUUGUUUGGCGGACUUGUCUGUACUUUAAACACGACCUGUGUGCUUCCCCUACCGCGAUAUUACUGAUAUACCUAUUCGAAUGCCAUGAAUUUCACGCAUCAGACCUAACUGUGGUGACUUUAUUGUGAACAUAAGUGACUACGAUUGGCGGGCAACACAUCCCCACUAUAUAGUUUUGGUGACCAAUGAUCAUUCAUAUUCGUGAUCGUGGUAACCUCGGUAAUUUGCCGUUUGUGAGACUGUUCGGGGCGCGGUGAGAGCUGUAUCUGCAGAGCUGAGUUCGGACCGAGCAUGUUGGUUCUGCGCCGUUGGUUGCUACUCUGUGCUCGUGGUAAAUUCACAUCAUUUAUACAAUUGAAUGACAACUCAAGUUUCGCCUCAGUUUUGCGUGUGAGUGCUGAAGCUUAGUUCCGUUUUAAAUUCGUUAACGUGCGUUUUGUGCGCAUAUUUUAACCCGGACUUCUUGAAGUACUGAGAUGAAUAUACGAAUUGCUGGGAGGGAUGCA
rnacentral:lncRNA from 1 species